GACAGAGGAGCCAAGCGUUGUCCGGAUUGACUGGGCGUAAAGCGCACGCAGGCGGUCGCGCGCGUGGGGUGUGAAAACUGGCGGCUUAACUGCCAGAGGCCAUCCCAUACGGCGUGACUCGAGCCAUGCAGAGGUCCACGGAAUUGCCGGUGUAGUGGUGAAAUGCGUAGAUAUCGGGAGGAACACCUGUGGCGAAAGCGGCUCGCUGGAACGGUACUGACGCUGAGGCGCGAAAGCGGUGGGGAGCAAACAGGG
rnacentral:rRNA from 1 species